rnacentral:tRNA from 1 species
GGUCCUGUGGUGUAGCGGUUAUCACGUCGCCCUGUCACGGCGAAGAUCGCGGGUUCGAUUCCCGUCGGGACCG